UACAGAGGGUGCAAGCGUUAAUCGGAGUUACUGGGCGUAAAGGGCGCGUAGGUGGCUAUUUAAGUUGGAUGUGAAAUACCCGGGCUUAACCUGGGGAGGUCAUUCGAGACUGGAUAGCUAGAGGGCAGUAGAGGGUGGUGGAAUUUCCGGUGUAGCGGUGAAACGCGUAGAGAUCGGAAGGAACGCCGGUGGUGAAGACGACCACCUGGACUGUGACUGACACUGAGGCGCGAGAGCGUGGGGAGCGAACAGG
rnacentral:rRNA from 1 species